rnacentral:rRNA from 1 species
AUGGAUUCUGCCUAUAAGCUUGUCGUUCCGGAGCAGUACGACCGACUCAUUUCUGCCGAGCUCCCAGACAAGCAGAAGUAUCCUGAACUCCACGCCUUAGUAGUGAAACAUAUGAUGCACGGACCAUGCGGUGCUCUCAACCCCAAAAAUGUGUGCAUGCAACAGAAUGAGUGCAAGUGCAGAUACCCGCGGCCGUUCAAUGAAAACACGACACAGGGCAAGGACUCAUACCCAGUUUAUCGUCGUCGAGAUGAUGGUCGGCAGGCUAAGGUCCGGGGUAAAAUGUUGGACAACAGAUGGGUUGUGCCGUAUAACCCUUACCUUCUGCGGAUGUUCAAUUGCCACAUCAAUGUUGAGGUUUGCUCCAGCAUAAAGGCCGUCAAAUACCUUUACAAGUACAUAUACAAGGGCCAUGAUAGGGCUUCUUUCAGCAUCGACCAGCCCGACGCCGAUGGUAACAUUGAUGAGAUCAAAAGAUACGUGGACGCGGGGUGGGUUACUCCUCCAGAGGCGAUGUGGAGGAUAUUUGGCUUCCCCUUGUGUGCCAAUGACCCGCCUGUCUACAGUUGCCUCUUCAUCUCCCGAAUAUGCACAGGGUGGCAUUCAAUGAGCAAGCUCACUUGA